UGCUUCGCCAGAAGUUCUAGAGAGAGAAGUGAUGGUGUUGUUGAAGGCAUCACCAACAAACCACACCUCGAGUCAGCGCUCUCCUUUGCAACAUCUUCUACUUUAUUUCAGCUAUUUUGGCCUUAGAAACACCAUCUUCACCGAUGAGUUCUUCGAUCUAUGGCCUCCGCUAGGGUUUCCCUCAUCUUUCAUCUUUUUCUUUGAUUUUAGCCGUUUAAAUCCUCUUUUGCUCCGAUUAAACACUUUCCACCGUUUAAUCGGUUAACCUAGUGUUUUAAGGUUCUUUCACCGUUCGAUUUAGGGUUUCCUUGCUUCAUUCACAGUUUUGGUUCAUUUGCUCUUGGAUUCGUAUCAUUCCGCUGCGUUUCACUCUUUGAGGGAGCUUCGAAGGAGUCCAUAGCGUGUUCGUUUGGGGUUCUUCUCUCGGAGCUUAUUCCAUCACCUCCCUUCGCAAGCGUGAGCACCGAUGGAGGUUGAGGCCAAAAAAGCUCACUGGAAAGAAUCACAUUUGGACAUCCAUUGGUGGUUACGAGAUAAAAGGGUUGGCUUUCUCAACAAUAAACCCGAACUGCAUCUAUAUUCAAGGGGUUGAUUAUGAGGCACCUAGUUGUUUUCUUUGCAUCUUGUGUAGAAGCUGAUUCCAAGGAUUAAAUAGGUUGAGCUUUCCUUCUCAUCCAUUGGAGGCUAUAAUAUACUUGUGAAAAAAUGUUU